AUACGGACUAAAAUCGUACUUUUGACAUCACAGUUGAUACAUAUAGAGCUAAAAUGGCAAGUGAGAUCUCAAAAUUAAUAUAAAAAUAAUA